UUUUAAGGCGGCGACCUGGACGGUCGGGGCGCAGAGCUCGGCGGGGUCCCCGGCCAGCUGACGGCCGUUGCCGGCCCGCCACCAGGAGAAGGAGGACGCCGACCCGCGGCCAGGACGCGGCGCACACCCCGCCGGCGCCCGGGACCCCCCGGACCAUCGGCAUUCGGCGGCAGGGGUGAGCGGCGAGAAUUUCAACAGAGGUACACGGCCGCAUCAUCUCUUGCAUGAAUAUUGAGCCCAAUUGCAGCUGCUGGACACUGCACAAGAUUAGACUUUGGAAAACUCUUGUGCGUGUGACAGCGGCUAUUGUUGGUGCUCAAAUGGCAACUAUGUUCGAGAUGGGCACACAACGACGGAGGCUACAAGUCAAGAGGAUGCGUGUUCUGCACUUUUGUUCAUCAAACCUCCUUCCAGGUUAGAAGUGAAAUAAGAAAAUGUUGUCUUAGUCAAUAGACCUGUAUUAUUGAAAUAAAAUUUUUAAAUGCAUAAAAUACAG